GGAAUAUAAUUUAUUUAAUAUAUUAAAGUGUUUAUUAAAUAUACGAAAAAUAAUUUAUUUAUUAUAGUUUACAGUAAAUUUUAUUGAACUAAAGUAUUAAAAUUAUAGUAGAAAGUACUGUUAAGGAAAAUUGAAAUAAUUUAAAGUAAUAUUGAUUUAAAGUAGUAUUUAAAAUUUGUACCUUGUGUAUCAGGGAAAUUUUAAUUUUUUUAUAGUUUUUAUAAAUCCCGAAAUAAGGAGAUUUAUUUUUAUAUUGAAGUUUAUGUAGUAAAUUAAUUUUUAAUUGUAAGAUGGUAAUGAAAUGUUAGUCGUUCUUUAUAAUUUCUGGUUAUUAGAGAAUUAAAUUUAAUUUAGUAUAUUAAUGAUUAAAUUUUAUUAAUAUAUUAAGAAUGGGAGGGUUUAGCUUCUUAUUCUAUAAUAUUUUAUAAAUAAUAAGAUUAAAUUAUUAUUUUGAAACUAAACUUAAAAGUAGUUAUGUUAAUAAAGUGUUAUAACUAACAUAAAUUUUUAAUAUUUUUUAUAUUUUAUUUUUUUAAUUAUUUGAUAGUUAUUAUUAGUUAUUUUUAAUUAAUUAUAUUGAAUUUAUUAGUAUAUAAUUUAUGUGUAUAUAAUUUUUUUAAUUAUUUUAUUUAAUUUAAUAUAUUUAACUAUAUUAUUAAGGAAUUCGGCAAAUUUUACUUUUGCCUGUUUAUCAAAAACAUGUUUUUAUGAAAUUUAUAUAAAAUCUGACCUGCCCACUGAAUUUUAAAGGGCCGCGGUAUUUUGACCGUGCAAAGGUAGCAUAAUCAUUAGUCUUUUAAUUGUGGGCUUGUAUGAAUGGUUGAACAAAAGGUAUACUGUCUUAGUUAUAAAAGUUGAAUUUAGCUUUUAAGUAAAAAGACUUAAAUAAUUUAAAGGGACGAUAAGACCCUAUAAAGCUUAAUGGUUUACUAUUAUAUAUAUAAAUUAGUUAUUUAAUAUUUUUAUAUGGAAUACAUUUUAUUGGGGCGAUAAAAAUAUAAAUUGUAACUGUUUUAUAUAUUUAAUAUUUAUAAAUAUUAAUUUAAUUGAUCCUUUAAUAAAGAUUAUAAGAUUAAGUUACUUUAGGGAUAACAGCGUAAUUUUCUUUAAGAGUUCAUAUCGAUAAGAAGGAUUGCGACCUCGAUGUUGAAUUAAAAUUUCUUUAUGGUGCAGCAGUUAUAUAAGAAGGUCUGUUCGACCUUUAAAUUUUUACAUGAUUUGAGUUCAGACCGGCGUAAGCCAGGUUGGUUUCUAUCUUUUAAAAUAAAUUUAAAUAUUUUAGUACGAAAGGAUUAAAUAAUUAAAAAUAUUUUUAUAUCAGUAUAUUAUUAAAUUAUUAUUCUAUAGCGACAUAGAAAUGUGAA
rnacentral:rRNA from 1 species